UUGAGAGAAGUGAAAGAAUAGAAACAAACCCACCGCAGCAAUAAGGAAUAUGGCAAGCUUGGAAAUAAUGAUGGGACACAUCAUAGAAAGCUCAUAAACCAGGCAGAGAGAGUUCUGCUCAUCACGCCUUGAUUCAAUAAUAUUUCUCAGUAGCAAAGAGUCGUAGCUUCUGGAUCAAUGUCUAUUCCCGUGUUUUAUCAAAAUUUAAACCCACUGUGAAGGAUACUAGUGAGUGUUCCAGAAGAACAGAGGAGAGGAGCAUAACUUGAGGGACAGCCAAAAGGGAAAGAGAACUCUCCUGCAAGCAGGCUCCACACCCAGCAUGGAGCCCAACACAGGGCAGGAACUCAUGACCUUGACAUCAAGACCUGAGCUGAGAUCAAGAGUCAGAUGCUCAACUGACUGAGCCACUCAGGCACCACAUAUUUCUUUUUUUCUUAUAUGGAAUAUACCAUCUACCUCAAGAGUCGUAUAUUUUAAGUUGAAAUAUAUACGAAUAUUAAACAAUAACCUUUACCAGUUAUAUGCUCUAAUUAUAACAUUUAGUAACAUUAAGACUAAAACAUGCUAAC